rnacentral:ncRNA from 1 species
AAAACAGGGGAGCCGGAAUACCGGCUGAGAGGAAGUUGUUUUACUUCGACCCUUUUAACCUGAUUCGGAUAAUGCCGACGUAGGAAGCUUAUA